AAGGAGAAACGUCGAGUUUUAGAGAAAGGUGGUGGGGAAUCAAGGCGAGCUCUGCGUCAAACCUCCUUACUCAUGAGGAAAAAAUGUUUCAGAAUCAAUUUAGACAAUAUUUGCAGCUGGAAUGCACUCAACGCUUGAUGCAACUCUUCCCAGCAAAAAGAAAUAUUUACGCAGGGUGAAACUUAGAUGUGGGUUUUAAAGUAAAUCUACAUGCUCUCUGUGGUUCUGCUAUCAAUCUUAAUGUUGCACCAACAGCUGCUACUGCCAGCACACAACAUAAAUCAGUGCUUCUCUACAACUCAGCCGCUUCUUGAAGGGGUUUCUGUUGGAAAACGUUGCAGUGGGCACACCGAACAAAAACAUUCCCACCAGAGGAGCUGAUGGAAAUGAAGGAAGGACAAAUGGUGUCAGUUUUUAACACGCUAGGAAUAUUUUCAUGCAAUUUUUUUUCCCCCACCGUUUCCGAGGAUCUCUGAUGUGCCAGUAGGUGGCAGUAACAACAACAAAAGUACAAGAAGCCAUUUGUGGCUGAGGUUUGAAGUUCAAUAUCAUCAAAGAGAAAAAAAAUAAAUAAAUUGAAAAAUCUGACAGCAGCUUGGUGCUAAAUGGCUUAAUCUCCAGAAAUAUUCCGAAAUAUUUGAUGCUUUUUUUUAUUUUUUUUUUUACUUUUAAAGUUGUACAAUAGACCAACCAAGAAAAAGUGGAUGAUUAAUUAAAAGCUCUUGCUUUUAAGAAUUUGAGCUUCUUUUCAUAGAUGAACUACAUCUGUGUUCAGGUGAGUUUGGCGUCGGUCCACUCAGGUACCGGCUCCGACGGAGCAACGUUGAGGUGUUUUCCUCAACGUUUAUGAUUGGAGCUGCAGUAGUCAGACUUUUAUAGCUCACUUUUGAGCUCUGUGCUGCUUUCACCUCAUUUGUCCUUAAGAAAUAUAGUGCAGGAGGAUAUAAAAAUGUUUUCUAAAGCCUUCCUGCCAAACAUUUUGCAGACUAGACACCUCAAAUUAGAGCCGAGCGAUAAAUCGAUUUUAGUGAUUAAUUUCUGGUUUAUGGAGAUUUAAUUUUAGGAAAAUGUGGGGGGGAGUGGGGGGGGUAACCCAGCAACACAAACUCCUUGGGUUUCCGCAGUUCAGAGUUAUGUCAGAACACCCAGGGCGGCCAUCUUGUUUGACAAACGAUUUUCAGAGCUUCUAAUUAUAUGGACUUUGAAAGCAGAUCACGUCUGUGACAAGAUACAAAUUGGGCUAAGAUUUUUCUUCUUUUUCUUUUUUUUUUUUUUUAACAAAAAUAAAGUCAUAAUGUUACAGCCAUAGUAACAUGAGAAUAAAGUUGUAAUGUUAGAAGAAUUAAGUGCCAAAAGGUUUAAUCAAAUGAACUUUCUUUUUCUCUUGACAACAACUUUUUCUCACAAUUAGAAAAAAAAUAUUGUAGUCUGGCUUUAAUACUCUUCUCUAACUCACAGGAGGGACAGUUGAAAUAUAGGCUCCUUUUUGAAGCUAUGUUCUCUCAUUUGUAAUUUUUUUUUUUUUUACAAAAGAAACAAAAAAAACAUCUAAAUCACAUCUAGUAUGAAUAAAAAUUAAAAAUCUGACUUUUAAGCCAUAUCCUCCAGUCCUGGUCCAAAGACAGCACAGCUUUGCUGUACUCGCCUUUAACCUUCCUGUUAUCUGCUGAAAGUCUUGUUCUCUUGCACAACGGGGGAAACUGGUGGCAAUUCUGAACAGAAACCCCAUUUAAACUUUUUAAAGUUUGUCUCCUCUUGUUUAUCUCACCAAUACUGAAAACGGUCUUCAGUCUUUCAGUCUUCUUCCUUCAGGAAGCUCUUCUAGUUAGUGUGGUGCAUUCAUGGAUCACCUAUCAGGCUAAAAGUCAGAUAUUUUCUCAUGGAAUUUCUUUGAAUAACAGUCUAAUACAGAUUUGGGUUACUUGCUGAAGGGAAUG